rnacentral:lncRNA from 1 species
CGCUAACGCUACGCUAACUUGGCCCCUCCGGAUUGUGGGACAGGGAGCCCCCAUGAGCUGUUCAUGCUAACCAGGCCUGCCUGCUGGGUGCGUGGGCCAGGUUGAUCAUGUGCACCACGAUCCUGAUCAUCUCGACCCUGUCAGUCAUUCUGCGCAGACGAUUCAACAACCAAGUCAAACCGCAGCAGCAACCAGUGGUGACCAGGCAGUAUGGAAAGAAAAGGAACAGAUCGUUUAUAAUGCAGGGAGAAAUACAGAGAUCAUCUUUCCCAUAGAUCAACGCCCUCUCUGUUACAUGGCCAGUCCAACUACACAGCUAAAUGAGGUUCAAGUUGCUUUUCAGAUAUUUGAAGUUGACUAAGUCAGAGAUGGUUUAGCCUUACAGGAUCGUGACUAGGGGCAGGAUGUACUGAAUGGCAAUGAAAGAGCCUUGCCCUAGCCAGAGGAACUCGACUCUAGCACACAGGGCAGAGUAUCAAUGUCUCGACUCAAGUUGCAAAUACAGAAACAGUGUCAGUCACCUGAGACCAAUAAGAGGGGGUGGUCUGGCCAGAAACACCCAGCUCUGUUUGGGCCAAUUCCAAACACCAGUGGACUGGGACUGUCUGGGAGUCAGAAGGGAGAGAGAGGACGCUUCUUCAGCAUGCCUGGAGCGGAGGAUAGUGCUCGCCUGCCAGGGCACUGGAGAGACGUGAGGGAGUGGAGCAUAGAGAAGAGACAGAGACACAGAAUGUGGGUCCAGGAUGUAGAAAAUGUCCUCAGUUCAAUGGCUAGGCAACUGUGUGCUUCCCUGGAUAAAUAUCCUCGCCACGAGCUUGGGGAUGGCUCAAAACACUUCUCCCCUUCCUUCCAAGACUGGUUUCCCUCCCGUCAUCCAGCCCUUACUUACAGACAGUUAUAGGUCCUCUGCACCCACAGACUGAAGAGCUAAGCCAUGGACCACAUUGCUCAGCAGCUAAAAUGGACAAUAGCAGCAUGAAGCCUUCCUCAUUGAUUGAUUUGAAAUGUUUAUUGGUGUGAAUCAUCUAGAAACCACCACAGGUAGUGCUGCCACAGAGGAGGAGUCAAAGAUCUUCAGUUAUAUACCAGAGACGCCAAAGCUCAUGAAAAUACAUUUCUAACCUUGUCCGACUCUCCCCAUUUUAGGGUAUGCAUUGAAAGCAAAGAGGAACAAAGGUGAUGCAACCAUUCCAAAGCAUGAUGUCUACUCCUCUAUGAUAAGUUGCUGUUUGACAUUCUGGAGAGGUGUAAUCAUAUAAAGACACAGAUGUCCUCCAAGAGUUACACUCUAAUAAAGGAUGAUGGAAAGUCAAACAGAGACCAGAGUUUACAGUCUGACCUUCUCUGGUCCAAGAGGCUGGAGACCACACCACCCUCCCGUCAAUUAAAUAAACAAGUGAUUUGUCUGAGCUACUCUCUGUUGUAUCUUUGUCUGAAAAUGUUGGUAGAGUUCGAAAUCUGGCAGUGGAAACAGAACACACAACAUAUCAGUAGGUGCACCUGCAGACCACUUGACUAAGUAUCCAUUUGAUAGGUUAUUGAUUCUAUUGGAGGCUCUGUGGCUUAGGAGGGAAAUGGGACUGUGUGGUUGGUAGUUGAAUGAUUUCUUGGAAGCAGAUAUGAUUUGGUGUCUAUAUAUAGGGUCUCAACAGACGGAGCAGUGCGACCUGUACUGUGUCAGCUGACUUCCUGGUCCCUAGUCUCCUCGGCCCCCAAAUGAGAUCGAAGACGCCAUGCUUCCUGGCUGAUUAAAUAAAUGAUUGAAUCCUUGUUGUUGCUGUUGAUUUUCUCCUGUUGUCCUGGGGAUUUCGUUGGCUUGUUUGUUUUCGUACGUCAGGGUCACAAAG